AAACUAGUAAAAAUAGAGGGGUUAAAUGUUGAAAUAACUAAACUUAUUUAAACCAAAAAACCCUAAAACACACCCAUACGCUACGCAGCCGCUCUCUUUCUUCCCCCUUCUUUCUUCACCUUCUUCCUGGACACAUUGUUUAAACUAACUCAGCAUGUUCCCGCCUAAAAUUAGCCAUGUAUCGUUGUACCAAAACGAUUUAGAACACCGUACCAGUUGAAUCGAAACAUGGUACCAAUUCAAUUCGGAUCGCAAAAUAACAAGAAGCGGAUCGCUGUACCCAACCGAUUUGGAACUUCGAACCAGUUCAAUCUGAAACACCGUACCACAUCGUUCCGGUACGACUGCGAAUUGCGAUUGGGUACACCACGAUCCAAUACGUGGGUCGUGGCAAACCCAGCGAUUUAGAUUGGAACAAAGAUGUGGAUGUAAUGGUGGGGAAGUGGUAACAUGGAGGGAUUGGAGUGUGCCGUACAACCCUGCCCUCUAGGCAACUUAUCUUGUUUUUAUGAGAGAGAGACUUCACCAACAUCCGCUCCCUCUUCAUGUGCCUUGUCUUAAAAGUGCACUUAACGUCAUUAUAGCGACUAAAAUGUGAUUAUCAGGGCAGUGGUGAAGCUUUAUAUUUCCGAUCGGGGGUUGGAAAUGUAUAUACCCAAAAAUUUCUAUAAAAUGAGGGGUCGAAAACGUAUAUACCCAAAAGUUUCUGUACGAAAACUACAUACUCUCUACUACUGAGCAAAAAGUUCGGGGUCGGCCGCCCCUUCCUCCCCCACUAUGCUACGCCCCUGCUCGCAGGGCCAAGGAAAACUCUUGUUAUGUUCCGGAUGACAGGAUUUUAGACAAGGGAAACUUGCUUUGAAGUCAAGUCUAGAGAAUAUUUGGUUAUCAUAUGUAAACUCGAAUCAAACUUUCUAUAUCAAAUAUAAAUCUAGUACGGUUAAUGUA